rnacentral:rRNA from 1 species
GGCUUCUUGCAACUACACGAGUUAGAGUCGAGCCUGCCCGGUGAUUUAUUUAACGGCCGCAGUACCCUGACUGUGCGAAGGUAGCAUAAUAGUUUGCCCUAUAAUUGAGGGCUUGUAUGAAUGGUUUGACAAGAACAAAGCUGUCUCUUUGUAAUUUAGUAAAAUUUUAUUUUCAGGUGAAGAAGCCUGAGUAUAAUUAAAAGACGAGAAGACCCUAUCGAGCUUAAAGGUAGUUAGUAAAUUAAAUAAUAUUAAUAGAAUAAUUAAAAUUGUUAAGUAUUUUAGUUGGGGCGACUAUGGAACAGGUAAAGCUUCCUAAAUUAAAAUAACUGACUUGUAAGGAUCCAUUGUUUGUGACAAAAGGAAAAGUUACCGUAGGGAUAACAGCAUAAUCUUCUUUAAGAGUUCGAAUUGAAAAGAAGGUUUGUGACCUCGAUGUUGGACCAAAAUAUCCUAAAGAUGCAGCAGUCUUUAAGGGUUGGUCUGUUCGACCAUUAAAAUUUUACG